rnacentral:lncRNA from 1 species
GCCACCCAGGGAUCCCUACCCUUUUCCCUGGGGUGGAACAGAGUGCUCCAGGGUUCUAGGCCUGGCUGGGCUGGGGAGGGGGGAUCUCAAAGAGAGGCCGAGGCUGGUUCAUGUCGGUGUGUGUGCUCACAAACGAAACCCUGUCAUGUGCGCAGUCGACAACAGCGUGCUAAUUAUACACGGGCCUCAGCACUGCGCUCUUCUCCGGGCUCUUCAGGGUGUUGUGUUUGCAUUUUCCUCACCCUCAGGAGCAGCAUUUGCAUCUCUCCAGUCUGUCAGGGAACAGUGUGUGUGUGUGUGUGUGUGUGUGUGUGUCCCCACACGCGUACGCACAGACAUCAUCUACUCAGAAGCUGCAAAGCAAGGACUGAAAGAACCUCAGCAGGGAUCCUGUCUCCGAAUCCACCAGCAUCCUGGAGUCCUAGCACGCACCGCACUCACCAACGUGCGCUUCCUAGGAUUUUGCUCUUUAGGCCCAGGCCCCACUGGUCCACGUGGGGGCCGCCCACGAGAGCCGGGGCUGUGGCUGCAGCAGGGCCCACGUCUCCACUGUCUGGCGGCGCCCUGAAGGCCGGGGCUGUCUCCCUGCCGCAGACUGGAGGCCCCCUAAGGGCAGGGCUGCACCUCGUCCUCCAGGAGCCUCUGCUUCUGACGUGGGUGCCGAGCUGUGGGCGCAGAAAACAGUUCUGGCCUCAUGACCCUGGAGGGGGAGCCCUCGGCAGCCCCCUGGGAUGCCAGCCUGACCCGCUCUCGAGUUCACCUCAUCUACUCCUUUUACCUGCCGAGAGUGGAAGUGUCACCCACACACUUGGGGGAUACGAGGAAGAAAAGAGUUAUAACAUAUGUUGGCAAAUGGAAUUUAAAACACAAAAACACAAAAACAAAAAAAGAAAGAAAAAAGAGAAAAAGGGAAGUGGGGAGUUGGGGGGUGGCAUCCUCAGCUCAGCCGAUCAACUGGAUACCUCCCAGGCUCUUCACCUGGACCCCACGGGAGCCUGCCAGGUGCCCGGGCCAGAGCACCCCACCUCUCCCCCUGUGCUGGAUCACAUAGCACACAAUACCUGGCAUCAUUCCCCGAUCUGGUAUUAA